rnacentral:rRNA from 1 species
CAAUUAUACCGUGAAACUGCGAAUGGCUCAUUAAAUCAGUUAUCGUUUAUUUGAUAAUACCUUACUACUUGGAUAACCGUGGUAAUUCUAGAGCUAAUACAUGCUGAAAAUCCCGACUUCGGAAGGGAUGUGUUUAUUAGAUAAAAAACCAAUGCCCUUCGGGGCUUUUUGGUGAUUCAUGAUAACUUUACGGAUCGCAUAGCCUUGCGCUGGCGACGGUUCAUUCAAAUUUCUGCCCUAUCAACUUUCGAUGGUAAGGUAUUGGCUUACCAUGGUUUCAACGGGUAACGGGGAAUUAGGGUUCGAUUCCGGAGAGGGAGCCUGAGAAACGGCUACCACAUCCAAGGAAGGCAGCAGGCGCGCAAAUUACCCAAUCCCGACACGGGGAGGUAGUGACAAUAAAUACUGAUACAGGGCUCUUUUGGGUCUUGUAAUUGGAAUGAGUACAAUUUAAACCUCUUAACGAGGAACAAUUGGAGGGCAAGUCUGGUGCCAGCAGCCGCGGUAAUUCCAGCUCCAAUAGCGUAUAUUAAAGUUGUUGCAGUUAAAAAGCUCGUAGUUGAAACUUGGGCCUGGCUGGCGGGUCCGCCUCACCGCGUGCACUCGUCCGGCCGGGCCUUCCUUCUGAAGAACCUCAUGCCCUUCACUGGGCGUGCUGGGGAAUCAGGACUUUUACUUUGAAAAAAUUAGAGUGUUCAAAGCAGGCCUUUGCUCGAAUACGUUAGCAUGGAAUAAUAAAAUAGGGCGUGCGUUUCUAUUUUGUUGGUUUCUAGAGACGCCGCAAUGAUUAACAGGAACAGUCGGGGGCAUCAGUAUUCAGUUGUCAGAGGUGAAAUUCUUGGAUUUACUGAAGACUAACUACUGCGAAAGCAUUUGCCAAGGAUGUUUUCAUUAAUCAGUGAACGAAAGUUAGGGGAUCGAAGACGAUCAGAUACCGUCGUAGUCUUAACCGUAAACUAUGCCGACUAGGGAUCGGGCGAUGUUCUUUUUCUGACUCGCUCGGCACCUUACGAGAAAUCAAAG